GACGAAGGGGCUAGCGUUGUUCGGAAUACUGGGCGUAAAGCGAGUGUAGGCCGGUUGCCCAAGUCAGGUGUGGAAAGCCCUUGAGCUCAACUCAAGAAAUGCGACUUGGUACUGGGUGGCUAGAGGGACCGGAGAGGAUAGUGGAAUUCCCAGUGUAGUGGUGAAAAUACGUAGAGAUUGGGAAGAACACCAGUGGCGGAAGGCGGCUCUCUGGACCGAGACUGACGCUGAGGCGGCGAAA
rnacentral:rRNA from 1 species